rnacentral:rRNA from 1 species
AUGUGGGGGGCUAUACUGACGAAUGAAAUGUGUGUUUAUCUCUGCUUUUUUUACAUGCAUGGGAAGCCUGUUUUGGAGAAUACACGAUCAUGCCGAUGCAACUGUCCAGUACUGAUCAGAUUGCUGAGAUUGGAAGACAAUGGAUGGUACAUAGUGGAGCACAUAGAGAAGCACAACCAUUCCCUGUCUCCAAACUGUGGGGAGACUAUACGCUGGCCUUCGCACAAGCGCAUAGAAGCUUACAACAAGGAUUUGGGAAAGCAAUUGAAGAAGAACAUCUUUAACCUAAGCAAAAUUUACAGCAUAAUUGGUAGUUUUUUUGGUUCGAUGGAGAAGGCCCCCUUCACGAAGCAAUCAUUGAAGACAUUAUGCGGGAAGUUAGGACCUGAGCAGUGA